AUUUCAUUGACGAGUCCCAAAUAGGACGAAAUGCGCAUCCUGGAU
rnacentral:hammerhead_ribozyme from 1 species